CGGGAGGAGGCAGGGGAGGAGGGGCGCGCGCGCCGGGUGGGGAGCCACGGAGGGCUUCGCCGCUGCCUCCCUCCCUCCCUCCGCAGCUUGACCCGGUAGUGAAGGCAGAGAGAGAGGCAGGCUGGGUCCGCCUGGCAGCCUACGGGAGGAGGCGGGAGCCGGGAAGGAGGGGAGCCUAGGCCCGGCGUGGGGAGGCCGGCAGGAAGGGCCUCGAGCCCAGUGCGGACCUUUCUUCAGCCUCUGUGCGACCGAGCCGCGCGCCAGGCUCCUGUGCGAGGAGGACGCGCUGACUCCCUCCGACCUGGGCUCCGAUGGAGCAGAAAUAGCGGGACCUGGACUUGUGGCGCGCCUGGUGCCACAUCUCGGGCUCUGCGAGCGUCCUGGCGCGGGAUCCUGCCGUUUGCAUCCAAGAGAGGGGAGGACAGGGGCAAAAGGAUGCAGGGAGGCUGCUGAUUUCCACUGAAGAGCUAAUUUCCUGUGAGACAUUAACAGUGAUUUAAGAAAAAGAUUCCUGUAACUGUAAUGUCUUACAAUAACAGAAUGCAGGAGAGCACAUAUCAAUGAAGAAAAGACAAAAUGUACUUAUCCAUGAAGCUGAGGUUAAGAAACCAGUGUCUUCAAGAGCCAGGGACAGCACUGGGUCUGUGCAGAGUUGAGAGAUGGUGAUGACAUGCCUACAGCACAGCUGAUGAAAGAGAAGACAUCUUGCUGCUAUUUGACAAGCAAGAAGAUAAAAGCUUUCCUAUAAAGAUGAUGGAGCAAAAAAAUAGAAGGGGCCUAGACUCCCUACCUUCACACUUCCUGCUAUAAAAGCAUUGCUAUUAUAAGGUUAAUCUGCAGAAACAGACUUCUAUGUCAUAUGCUUAAAUGCAUCAAAAUUCAUACAAUAUCCAUUAAAUUGGUAAAAGUAUCCAUUUUAAAGGAUUAAUCUGAGGGACCCACAGACACUUAACACAAUCAAAUCUCAGAAAAAAAAUCAGUUAUUUCAUUGUGAUUUUGAGGCUGAUCUUUUAUG
rnacentral:lncRNA from 10 species